UGCCAUUAAACUGGCUGAUAACACAUUUUCUUUGCUGUUGUUUUUUUGGGGAACAUGCAAAGUGCAAUUAAAUAAACUUGAUAAAAAAAACAGAAACCGUGAUGUACAGGAUCAAAUGUCAUCUCACUUGUUAUGGGCCAGUGUUAAUAUUGCUGACAGAUACAAACUAUUGUAUGGAUUAAACCAGAGUGAACAUGAUAGAAAUUAAUGACCUUUUCAUCAACAAAUGAAAACUAGACGAAAAUGUUAGGGAGCGAAGAUAUUCU